CAGCGCCACAAGUGGGAAUCACAUUUAUUGGGCCUAAAGCGUCCGUAGCCUGUCUGAUAAAUCUCUUGUGAAAUCGUUCGGCUUAACCGAACGGCGUGCAGGAGAAACUGUCAAACUAGAGACCGGGAGGGGUCAGAGGUAUUCCAUGAGGAGCGGUAAAAUGCUAUAAUCCAUGGAGGACCACCGGUGGCGAAGGCGUCUGACCAGAACGGAUCUGACGGUGAGGGACGAAAGCCAGGGGAGCAAUCCGGAUUAGAUACCCGAGUAGUCC
rnacentral:rRNA from 1 species